rnacentral:rRNA from 1 species
AGGACGAACGCUGGCGGCGUGCCUAAUACAUGCAAGUCGAACGGUCUUUCUAUGGAAGCUUGCUUCCACUGAGAAGAUAGUGGCGAACGGGUGAGUAACACGUGGGUAACCUGCCCAUAAGAGGGGGGAUAACAUCCGGAAACGGGUGCUAAUACCGCAUAGUUUCUUGAUCGCAUGAUCGGGAAAGGAAAGACGGCCUUUGUGCUGUCGCUUAUGGAUGGACCCGCGGCGUAUUAGUUAGUUGGUGAGGUAACGGCUCACCAAGACGAUGAUACGUAGCCGACCUGAGAGGGUGAUCGGCCACAUUGGGACUGAGACACGGCCCAAACUCCUACGGGAGGCAGCAGUAGGGAAUCUUCCGCAAUGGACGAAAGUCUGACGGAGCAACGCCGCGUGAGUGAAGAAAAGGUUUUCGGAUCGUAAAACUCUGUUGUCAGAGAAGAACAAGUUGGAGAGUAACUGCUCCAGCCUUGACGGUAUCUGACCAGAAAGCCACGGCUAACUACGUGCCAGCAGCGGC